GCAGGGGUUGAUGCGUUUCUCCUUCUGGCGCCGGUUGCAGAACCAGACGCGGAUUACUUCCUUCUCCAUGUGCAGCUGCUCUGCGAUCAACAGGAUCUCCUCUGAGGCAGCUACGAUCCCUGCCCCUCACUCCGCCCGCCAUCUGGCCACGCCCUCUACUCCGCCCACCAGAUAACGAGGCCCCACCCCUCCCGCCACCAGAGGGUCCCGCCGCCUUGUCAUCCCACGUCCACCGCCUAUCCUGGCGGGCGGCCUCAGACCUGUGUGAAACCCAGCUUGAUGCGGCGUUGCUUGAAGUGUGUGAGGGCCACCAUUUGCAGUCUCUGGUCUGGGAAGGGGACAUGAACCAACAGACGCCUUCCUCAGGGAACCCCACCCCCCACCCCACUGGAGUGCUGGAGGAGAUCUGAAGCAUUUGUGAUCUAAAGGUUU